ensembl:snoRNA ACEA small nucleolar RNA U3
AAGACUAUACUUUCAGGGAUCAUUUCUUUAGUUUUUGACUUGAGGAAUGUGUUUCUAGCGUGUAUGGUCUCGCUAACCACGAUGAUGAGUUGUGAUAUUCUCUUUUGAGCAUGAAGCUGAUGGAGUAGUGCUGUACUGCACACGUUCUCUGUCAUGGAUGAUUGCUUAUUGCUCUACUGUAGAGCAGUGAGAAAGGGAAUAUGUUCAGAGUGGCU